rnacentral:snRNA from 1 species
AUACUUACCUGGCAGGAGAGAUACCAUGAUCACGAAGGUGGUUUUCCCAGGGCGAGGCUUAUACAUUGCACUCCGGAUGUGCUGACCCCUGCGAUUUCCCCAAAUGUGGGAAACUCGACUGCAUAAUUUGUGGAAAAAAAAAUA